rnacentral:rRNA from 1 species
CCUACGGGAGGCAGCAGUGGGGAAUAUUGCACAAUGGGCGAAACCCUGAUGCAGCAACGCCGCGUGAGCGAAGAAGGAAUUCGGUACGUAAAGCUCUGUCAUCAAGGAAGAUAAUGACGGUACUUGAGUAAGAAGCCCCGGCUAACUACGUGCCAGCAGCCGCGGUAAUACGUAGGGGGCUAGCGUUAUCCGGAUUUACUGGGGGUAAAGGGUGCGUAGGUGGUGUCUUAAGUCGGAGGUGAAAGGCUAGGGCUCAACCGUGGGAAGGCUUUGAAAAUGGGGAACUUGAGUGCAGGAGAGGUAAGUGGAAUUCCGAGUGUAGCGGUGAAAUGCGUAGAUAUUAGGAGGAACACCAGUGGCGAAGGCGGCUCACUGGACUGUAACUGACACUGAGGCACGAAAGCGUGGGGAGCAAACAGGAUUAGAUACCCCGGUAGUC